UACGGGGGGGGCAAGCGUUGUUCGGAAUUACUGGGCGUAAAGGGCUCGUAGGCGGCCAACUAAGUCAGACGUGAAAUCCCUCGGCUUAACCGGGGAACUGCAUCUGAUACUGGAUGGCUUGAGUUCGGGAGAGGGAUGCGGAAUUCCAGGUGUAGCGGUGAAAUGCGUAGAUAUCUGGAGGAACACCGGUGGCGAAGGCGGCAUCCUGGGACCAAUACUGACGCUGAGGAGCGAAAGCCAGGGGAGCAAACGGG
rnacentral:rRNA from 1 species